rnacentral:piRNA from 1 species
UCUCUUGUUGAGAUGGAUGGUCAAAGA